GACGAACGCUGGCGGCGUGCUUAACACAUGCAAGUCGAACGGUAAGGCCCUUCGGGGUACACGAGUGGCGAACGGGUGAGUAACACGUGGGUGAUCUGCCCUGCACUUCGGGAUAAGCCUGGGAAACUGGGUCUAAUACCGGAUAGGACUCCUGGCUUCAUGGUUGGGGGUGGAAAGCUUUUGCGGUGUGGGAUGGGCACGCGGCCUAUCAGCUUGGUGGUGGGGUAAUGGCCUAACAAGGCGACGACGGGUAGCCGGCCUGAGAGGGUGACCGGUCACGCUGGGACUGAGAUACGGCCCAGACUCCUACGGGAGGCAGCAGUGGGGAAUAUUGCACAAUGGGCGCAAGCCUGAUGCAGCGACGCCGCGUGAGGGAUGACGGCCUUCGGGUUGUAAACCUCUUUCAGCUAUGACGAAGCGCAAGUGACGGUAGUAGCAGAAGAAGGACCGGCCAACUACGUGCCAGCCGCCGCGGUAA
rnacentral:rRNA from 1 species